AUGAAGACUAAAAAUGAAGCAGCAGUGAAAAUCAGUGAAUUGACAAAGGCUCAUUCUUCAUGGCUACCACAUUGGCUUGCAGCUCAUUUGGCUUCAAGUGAGUUGUAUGCUGAGGCUAAUUGGAAUAAGCAUGGAAAACUUGCUCUUGACACUCUUUCACUGAAGG